ACAUACAGAUGAUCACAGCAGCACCGUCCCUAGGGUAGACAUACAGAUGAUCACAGCAGCACCGUCCCUAAGGUAGACAUACAGAUGAUCACAGCAGCACCGUCCCUAAGGUAGACAUACAGAUGAUCACAGCAGCACCAUCCCUAAGGUAGACAUACAGAUGAUCACAGCAGUCUCACUGUUUUGGCUAACGUGCGCAAGCACACAUGGGCACAUACAAUUUCCAGUGCAUCUUACUAUAAAAGCUGCACUUAUCUGUGAUUUACAGGGGCAUCUGGGUCUAAUCCACCAUCAUUCAUACCCACCACUUUUGAUGUCUGGUUAGCAGAAUUUCCAUUUAGGCUAUUUCUGAUGUUUUUUUGUGUGCACUAUGUCUAUCUGUCUCAUACAGUCCCAUGAGUUUUCUCAGUUUAUU
ensembl:lncRNA